GUUGUAUGGUUAAGUGACUAAGCGUAUACGGUGGAUGCCUUGGCAGUUGGAGGCGAUGAAGGACGUACUAACUUGCGAUAAGCCUAGUUGAGCCAGUAAGAGGCGCUUGAGACUAGGAUUUCCGAAUGGGGAAACCCACCUGCUUUGCAGGUAUCAUAUGGUGAAUACAUAGCCAUAUGAGGCGAACGCGGAGAACUGAAACAUCUAAGUACCCGUAGGAAAA
rnacentral:rRNA from 1 species